rnacentral:rRNA from 1 species
UGGGGAAUUUUGGACAAUGGGCGAAAGCCUGAUCCAGCAAUGCCGCGUGUGUGAAGAAGGCCUUCGGGUUGUAAAGCACUUUUGUCCGGAAAGAAAUCCUUGGCUCUAAUACAGUCGGGGGAUGACGGUACCGGAAGAAUAAGCACCGGCUAACUACGUGCCAGCAGCCGCGGUAAUACGUAGGGUGCAAGCGUUAAUCGGAAUUACUGGGCGUAAAGCGUGCGCAGGCGGUUUGCUAAGACCGAUGUGAAAUCCCCGGGCUCAACCUGGGAACUGCAUUGGUGACUGGCAGGCUAGAGUAUGGCAGAGGGGGGUAGAAUUCCACGUGUAGCAGUGAAAUGCGUAGAGAUGUGGAGGAAUACGAUGGCGAAGGCAGCCCCCUGGGCCAAUACUGACGCUCAUGCACGAAAGCGUGGGGAGCAAACAGGAUUAGAUACCCUGGUAGUCCACGCCCUAAACGAUGUCAACUAGUUGUUGGGGAUUCAUUUCCUUAGUAACGUAGCUAACGCGUGAAGUUGACCGCCUGGGGAGUACGGGUCGCAAGAUUAAAACUCAAAUGAAUUAG